rnacentral:rRNA from 1 species
GCUCAGACACUUAAAGGAAUUGACGGGGGCCCGCACAAGCGGAGGAACAUGUGGUUUAAUUCGAUGAUACGCGAGGAACCUUACCCGGGCUUGAAAUGCAUCUGACCGGCCUUGAAAGAGGUUUUCCCUUCGGGGCAGAUGUGUAGGUGCUGCAUGGUUGUCGUCAGCUCGUGCCGUGAGGUGUCGGCUUAAGUGCCAUAACGAGCGCAACCCUCAUCAUUAGUUACCAUCAGGUAAGGCUGGGGACUCUAAUGAGACUGCCAUCGUAAGAUGUGAGGAAGGUGGGGAUGACGUCAAGUCCUCAUGGCCUUUAUGACCAGGGCUACACACGUACUACAAUGGCCGAUACAAAGGGCAGCGACACUGCGAGGUGAAGCCAAUCCCGUAAAAUCGGUCUCAGUCCGGAUUGGAGUCUGCAACUCGACUCCAUGAAGUUGGAAUCGCUAGUAAUCGUGGAUCAGCAUGCCACGGUGAAUACGUUCCCGGGCCUU